AUGUACCACUCGUACACUGCGGUUCCUGCGCGCCGUCCGCGCCCCCCUGGCGGCUGC
rnacentral:sRNA from 1 species